GAUGAACGCUGGCGGCGUGCCUAAUACAUGCAAGUCGAGCGAACAGACGAGGAGCUUGCUCCUCUGACGUUAGCGGCGGACGGGUGAGUAACACGUGGAUAACCUACCUAUAAGACUGGGAUAACUUCGGGAAACCGGAGCUAAUACCGGAUAAUAUAUUGAACCGCAUGGUUCAAUAGUGAAAGACGGUUUUGCUGUCACUUAUAGAUGGAUCCGCGCCGCAUUAGCUAGUUGGUAAGGUAACGGCUUACCAAGGCAACGAUGCGUAGCCGACCUGAGAGGGUGAUCGGCCACACUGGAACUGAGACACGGUCCAGACGCCUACGGGAGGCAGCAGUAGGGAAUCUUCCGCAAUGGGCGAAAGCCUGACGGAGCAACGCCGCGUGAGUGAUGAAGGUCUUCGGAUCGUAAAACUCUUUUAUUAGGGAAGAACAAAUGUGUAAGUAACUAUGCACGUCUUGACGGUACCUAAUCAGAAAGCCACGGCUAACUACGUG
rnacentral:rRNA from 1 species